CACUGAACAGAACCGUUAAUUCCUUCACCAAACAAGUCGUUUAGGCAAACCGUUUGAGAAAAAUUGUAAAGAAAUAUGAGUUCAGAUGUUAAUGAUGUGAGUCUGGAUUCUCUGUAUCAGCAGAUUUUGUUAGCUGAACAACAAACAUCCGAAAACACAGGAAAGCUUCAUGAAGUAAAAUCAUCCAUCAUUAAGGCUGAGAAGGAAAUCAAGUCCUUCACCGAGAAGCUGGAGCGUGCGUAUACUGAACUGGACGAGAAGGCUCAGCUGGAGUCUGAAAUUUUGCUGCAGCUAAAACUGAACAAGAGACAACAAGAAGAAAUGGAGAAGAAAAAGAAGGACUUGCUCGAGCAACAGAAUGGGCUCAGAGAGGAGAUGGAGCGAAUACAAAGAGAGAUAGCAGAGGAGAAAGAGAAGUUUAUGAACAUGAUCAGAACCUUCAACAGCGACUUUAACCUGCUGAAAAACAGGGACCUUGUCUUCCACCACCAGACCAAAUCUGAAAUACAGACUCUCCAGUCAGAAUCUGAGGCACUAAGCAAAGAGAUAGAGAGGCUGAAGCAAGAAAAGACGCAGCUGAUCACUUUGCAAACCGAGCAACAAUCUUUAAGUGCCGAGCUUAAGGGGCUGCACUCACAACUAACAGGUGAAAACAAGAUUCUGCCUAAAACCCGGUUACUUUUUGAAAGCGCCGUGCCGACUGGAGAGCGUUUUGAUAUUGUACGUGUGCACAGAUGUGGAGAGGGAGCUGGAGGAGGCAGUGGCACACACCGAGUCACUGAAGAUCGAAAGGGAAACAGCCAUUCAGAAACCUCAGACAGACAGCACCUGCCUCAGGUAAGCUCGUGUACGCGUCAAGGCUCCUGGGACGGAACGAAAGGCGCGGUCAAUACGUCAAAUACCCAUCAGAGUGUAGAUGCGGUUUAUUAACCCUGAAUCAGAAUCUUUUUGACCCACACGCAGCCCCCUCAUUCAUCUCUGUGUCCGUACGUCUCUCAGUAAAUAACACGACUCCAGAUCCAUCCCUUUAAUUAAGCCUUUGAUAUAUAUUACCCAUGUUAUCCGGUCUGGAGUCAGGUCCCACUUCACAACAACAUCUAGUUGCUCUAUCAUGUCCCCGAUGAAGGGGACGGGAUCAAUAGAUAGCGUGUCUCUGGCAGGAAGCUGUUUCGCCUACAGCUGUGUAAAUCAUACACACGCCCAUCGAUGUUCACACAAAUCUCUCUCAUUAGCAUCCUGCCGGAUCACAGCCCUGGGAGGUGCUGAAGACGCAGCCAGCGUGGCGGUUCUUCUUCAGGGUGUAACCGUAAAUCACUUUCAAAUAGCUGUUGCUUCAUACACGGGGUAUCGACCGCGCGAAAUCGAACGCUGAAACGUCUUCGAAACAGGCGGCAUGUAAAAAUGGGUCGAAUGAAAUGGAUUAGGAGCUACUACAUUGACAUGCUGCAUCAAAACAAUAAUACACAAGUCAAAAUGAAAGUCUACGACUUACAGGGCGGGUUUAAAGAAAAUGAACGUAAGGCUUCUCAACGUGGGACAGAAAUAAUGAAUCUAAUUAAAGUGCAACACAGAACAGGUCAACACAUUAGGAUAAUCAAGCGAAACCAUAGCAAAUGCAUACAGAGUGAUCUGAGAAGAGAAAACACUUCAACAGUUGCUUGUAAUAAACAUUCAUUCAUUCAUCUUCUACCGCUUAUCCGAACUACCUCGGGUCACGGGGAGCCUGUGCCUAUUUCAGGCGUCAUCGGGCAUCAAGGCAGGAUACACCCUGGACGGAGUGCCAACCCAUCGCAGGACACACACACACACACACACUCUCAUUCACUCACGCACUCACACACUAGGGACAAUUUUCCAGAGAUGCCAAUCAACCUACCAUGCAUGUCUUUGGACCGGGGGAGGAAACCGGAGUACCCGGAGGAAACCCCCAAGGCACGGGGAGAACAUGCAAACUCCACACACACACAAGGUGGAGGUGGGAAUCGAACCCCCAACCCUGGAGGUGUGAGGCGAACGUGCUAACCACUAAGCCACCGUGCCCCCCUUGUAAUAAACAAUUCGUUCUUAAAAAAUGACAACUGCAGAGUCACAUUGCCUCACUGUUACUGUUGCUUAGCCACUCGUGUGUGUGUGUGUGUGUGUGUGUGUGUGUGUGUGUUUGUACGGAAGACUGAAGAAAGAUCUAGAAGCACAUAAGGAGCUGGAGAUGCUGCAUGCGACCCUCAGCACAGAAAUUCACGUCUUGCUUUCGGAAUUAUCACAGAAGCCGAAGGCGUGACGAGCUACUCAGGUCGCUUUCGUUCAGCAGUUACACGAG